rnacentral:tRNA from 1 species
ACCUGGCUGGCUCAGUUUGUCGAUAGAGCAUUGGACUCUUGAUCUCCAGGUUGUGGAUUCGAAUCCCAUGUUGGGUG